AGAGUUUGAUCUUGGCUCAGAUUGAACGCUGGCGGCAGGCCUAACACAUGCAAGUCGAGCGGAUGAAAGGAGCUUGCUCCUGGAUUCAGCGGCGGACGGGUGAGUAAUGCCUAGGAAUCUGCCUGGUAGUGGGGGACAACGUUUCGAAAGGAACGCUAAUACCGCAUACGUCCUACGGGAGAAAGCAGGGGACCUUCGGGCCUUGCGCUAUCAGAUGAGCCUAGGUCGGAUUAGCUAGUUGGUGAGGUAAUGGCUCACCAAGGCGACGAUCCGUAACUGGUCUGAGAGGAUGAUCAGUCACACUGGAACUGAGACACGGUCCAGACUCCUACGGGAGGCAGCAGUGGGGAAUAUUGGACAAUGGGCGAAAGCCUGAUCCAGCCAUGCCGCGUGUGUGAAGAAGGUCUUCGGAUUGUAAAGCACUUUAAGUUGGGAGGAAGGGUUGUAGAUUAAUACUCUGCAAUUUUGACGUUACCGACA
rnacentral:rRNA from 1 species